AAUCAACGCUGGCGGCGUGCCUCAGACAUGCAAGUCGAACGCGAAAGUCCCCUUCGGGGGAGUGAUUAGAGUGGCGCACGGGUGAGUAACACGUAGGUAAUCUACCUUCGAGUGGGGAAGUAAACUCAGGGAAACGUUGAGCUAAUACCGCAUAAUGCAGCGGCACCACAUGGUGACAGUUGUUAAAGCAUUUAUGCGCUUGAAGAGGAGCCUGCGGCGGAUAGCUAGUUGGUAAGGUAAUGGCUUACCAAGGCUACGAUCUGUAACCGGCCUGAGAGGGCGGACGGUCACACUGACACUGAAUAACGGGUCAGACUCCUACGGGAGGCAGCAGUCGGGAAUUUUGGG
rnacentral:rRNA from 1 species